rnacentral:rRNA from 1 species
AGUGAACGCUGGCGGUAGGCCUAACACAUGCAAGUCGAACGGCAGCACAGUAAGAGCUUGCUCUUACGGGUGGCGAGUGGCGGACGGGUGAGGAAUACAUCGGAAUCUACUUUUUCGUGGGGGAUAACGUAGGGAAACUUACGCUAAUACCGCAUACGACCUACGGGUGAAAGCAGGGGAUCUUCGGACCUUGCGCGAUUGAAUGAGCCGAUGUCGGAUUAGCUAGUUGGCGGGGUAAAGGCCCACCAAGGCGACGAUCCGUAGCUGGUCUGAGAGGAUGAUCAGCCACACUGGAACUGAGACACGGUCCAGGCUCCUACGGGAGGCAGCAGUGGGGAAUAUUGGACAAUGGGCGCAAGCCUGAUCCAGCCAUACCGCGUGGGUGAAGAAGGCCUUCGGGCUGUAAAGCCCUUUUGUUGGGAAAGAAAAGCAGCAGGUUAAUACCCCGCUGUUCUGACGGUACCCAAAGAAUAAGCACCGGCUAACUUCGUG